CCUACGGGAGGCAGCAGUGAGGACUAUUGGUCAAUGGACGAGAGUCUGAACCAGCCAAGUAGCGUGAAGGAUGACUGCCCUAUGGGUUGUAAACUUCUUUUAUAAAGGAAUAAAACGAGGCACGUGUGCCUUUUUGCAUGUACUUUAUGAAUAAGGAUCGGCUAACUCCGUGCCAGCAGCCGCGGUAAUACGGAGAAUCCGAGCGUUAUCCGGAUUUAGUGGGUUUAAAGGGAGCGUAGAUGGGUUGUUAAGUCAGUUGUGAAAGUUUGCGGCUCAACCGUAAAAUUGCAAUUGAUACUGGCAGUCUUGAGUACAGUUGAGGUAGGCAGAAUUCGUGGUGUAGCGGUGAAAUGCUUAGAUAUCACGAAGAACCCCGAUUGCGAAGGCAGCUUACUAAACUGUGACUGACAUUGAUGCUCGAAAGUGUGGGUAUCAAACAGGAUUAGAUACCCGAGUAGUC
rnacentral:rRNA from 1 species